rnacentral:rRNA from 1 species
AUUGAACGCUGGCGGCAGGCUUAACACAUGCAAGUCGAACGAGUGGCGGACGGGUGAGUAAUGUAUGGGGAUCUGCCCGAUAGAGGGGGAUAACUACUGGAAACGGUAGCUAAUACCGCAUACCAUCAGAUGAACCCAUAUGGGAUUAGCUUGUAGGGGAGGUAACGGCUCACCUAGGCGACGAUCCCUAGCUGGUCUGCGAGGAUGAUUCGCCACACCGGGACUGUGACACGGCCCAGACUCCUACGGGAGGCAGCAGUGGGGAAUAUGGCACAAUGGGCGCAAGCCUGAUGCAGCCAUGCCGCGUGUAUGAAGAAGGCCUUCGGGUUGUAAAGUACUUUCAGUCGGGAGGCGUUACCGACAGAAGAAGCACCGGCUAACUCCGUGCCAGCAGCCGCGGUAAUAC